UACGAAGGGGGCUAGCGUUGUUCGGAAUUACUGGGCGUAAAGCGCACGUAGGCGGGUUGUUAAGUCAGGGGUGAAAUCCCGGAGCUCAACUCCGGAACUGCCUUUGAUACUGGCAAUCUAGAGACUGGAAGAGGUUAGUGGAAUUCCCAGUGUAGAGGUGAAAUUCGUAGAUAUUGGGAAGAACACCAGUGGCGAAGGCGGCUAACUGGUCCAGUACUGACGCUGAGGUGCGAAAGCGUGGGGAGCAAACAGGG
rnacentral:rRNA from 1 species